ACUCUUCCACUCAGAGUGAACGCUGGCGGCAGGUAACACAUGCAAGUCGAACGGCAGCACAGUAAGAGUUCUCUUAUGGGUGGCGAGUGGCGGACGGGUGAGGAAUACAUCGGAAUCUACUCUCGUGGGGGAUAACGUAGGGAACUUACGCUAAUACCGCAUACGACCUACGGGUGAACGGAGGACCUUCGGGCUUCGCGCGGUGAAUGAGCCGAUGUCGGAUUAGCUAGUUGGCGGGGUAAGCCCACCAAGGCGACGAUCCGUAGCUGGUCUGAGAGGAUGAUCAGCCACACUGGAACUGACACGGUCCAGACUCCUACGGGAGGCAGCAGUGGGGAAUAUUGGACAAUGGGCAAGCCUGAUCCAGCCAUGCCGCGUGGGUGAAGAAGGCCUUCGGGUUGUAAAGCCCUUGUUGGGAAAGAAAAGCAGUCGGUUAAUACCCGAUUGUUCUGACGGUACCCAGAAUAAGCACCGGCUAACUUCGUGCCAGCAGCCGCGGUAAUACGAAGGGUGCAAGCGUCGUUCGGAAUUACUGGGCGUAAAGCGUGCGUAGGUGGUGGUUUAAGUCUGUUGUGAAAGAGCUGGGCUCAACCUGGGAAUUGCAGUGGAUACUGGGUCACUAGAGUGUGGUAGAGGGUAGCGGAAUUCCCGGUGUAGCAGUGAAAUGCGUAGACUUCGGGAGGAACAUCCGUGGCGAAGGCGGCUACCUGGACCAACACUGACACUGAGGCACGAAAGCGUGGCAAGCAAACAGGAUUAGAUACCCUGGUAGUCCACGCAGUAAACGAUGCGAACUGGAUGUUGGGUGCAAUAUGGCACGCAGUAUCGAAGCUAACGCGUAGAGUUCGCCGCCUGGGGAGUACGGUCGCAAGACUGAAACUCAAAGGAAUUGACGGCUGCCCGCACAAGCGGUGCAGUAUGUGGUUUAAUUCGAUGCAACGCGAAGAAGAUUACCUGGUCUUGACAUCCACGGAACUAUCCAGAGAUGGAUUGGUGCCUUCGCCAACCGUGCUACAUGCUGGUGGCUGUCGUCAGCUCGUGUCGUGAGAUGUUGGUAGUCCCAACGAGCGCAACCCUUGUCCUUAGUUGCCAGCACGUAAUGGUGGGAACUCUAAGGAGACCGCCGGUGACAAACCGGAGGAGUGGGGAUGACGUCAAGUCAUCAUGGCCUACGACCAGGGCUACACACGUACUACAAUGGUAGACAGAGGGCUGCAAACCCGCGAGGGCAAGCCAAUCCCAGAACCCUAUCUCAGUCCGGAUUAGUCUGCAACUCGACUCCAUGAAGUCGGAAUCGCUAGUAAUCGCAGAUCAGCAUUGCUGCGGUGAAUACGUCCGGGCCUUGUACACACCGCCCGUCACACCAUGGGAGUUGUUGCACCAGAAGCAGGUAGCUUAACCUUCGGGGGCGCUUGCCACGGUGUGGCCGAUGACUGGGGUGAAGUCGUAACAAGGUAGCCGUAUCGGAAGGUGCGUGCUGGAUCACCUCCUAUUCUAGCU
rnacentral:rRNA from 1 species